CCUAGAUGAAUUUGGUGCUUGCACCAAAUGAAACUAGAUACAAGCGAGCGGCGGACGGGUGAGUAACACGUGGGUAACCUGCCCAAGAGACUGGGAUAACACCUGGAAACAGAUGCUAAUACCGGAUAACAACACUAGACGCAUGUCUAGAGUUUAAAAGAUGGUUCUGCUAUCACUCUUGGAUGGACCUGCGGUGCAUUAGCUAGUUGGUAAGGUAACGGCUUACCAAGGCAAUGAUGCAUAGCCGAGUUGAGAGACUGAUCGGCCACAUUGGGACUGAGACACGGCCCAAACUCCUACGGGAGGCAGCAGUAGGGAAUCUUCCACAAUGGACGCAAGUCUGAUGGAGCAACGCCGCGUGAGUGAAGAAGGGUUUCGGCUCGUAAAGCUCUGUUGGUAGUGAAGAAAGAUAGAGGUAGUAACUGGCCUUUAUUUGACGGUAAUUACUUAGAAAGUCACGGCUAACUACGUGCCAGCAGCCGCGGUAAUACGUAGGUGGCAAGCGUUGUCCGGAUUUAUUGGGCGUAAAGCGAGUGCAGGCGGUUCAAUAAGUCUGAUGUGAAAGCCUUCGGCUCAACCGGAGAAUUGCAUCAGAAACUGUUGAACUUGAGUGCAGAAGAGGAGAGUGGAACUCCAUGUGUAGCGGUGGAAUGCGUAGAUAUAUGGAAGAACACCAGUGGCGAAGGCGGCUCUCUGGUCUGCAACUGACGCUGAGGCUCGAAAGCAUGGGUAGCGAACAGG
rnacentral:rRNA from 1 species